UACGAAUGGAGCGAGCGUUGUUCGGAAUCACUGGGCGUAAAGCGUGCGCAGGCGGUUGUGAAAGUCAGGAGUGAAAUCCCAGGGCUCAACCUUGGAAUUGCUUUUGAAACUUCACGACUAGAGUACUGGAGGGGUUGGCGGAAUUUCGAGUGUAGCAGUGAAAUGCGUAGAUAUUCGAAGGAACACCGAUGGCGUAGGCAGCCAACUGGACAGUUACUGACGCUCAUGCACGAAAGUAUGGGGAGCAAACAGGAUUAGAAACCCGCGUAGUCC
rnacentral:rRNA from 1 species